GCAAGGGGAGCGGCAGACGGGAGAGUAACACGUGGGAACGUACCCUUCAGUUCGGAACAACCCAGGGAAACUUGGGCUAAUACCGAAUACGUCCGUAAGGAGAAAGAUUUAUCGCUGAAGGAUCGGCCCGCGUCUGAUUAGCUAGUUGGUGAGGUAACGGCUCACCAAGGCGACGAUCAGUAGCUGGUCUGAGAGGAUGAUCAGCCUCACUGGGACUGAGACACGGCCCAGACUCCUACGGGAGGCAGCAGUGGGGAAUAUUGGACAAUGGGCGCAAGCCUGAUCCAGCCAUGCCGCGUGGGUGAUGAAGGCCCUAGGG
rnacentral:rRNA from 1 species